AUGGAUCAUGUUGCAGUGAGAGGAAUCAAGUUGCAGCGCGAGAGCAGUCAGGGGUUGCAUGCCAGCAGCUCCAAAAUGUCACCCAAUGGCCACCUCGCCAGUCAACUGAACCCGGUGAACGCCUCGAGUCGUGAAGCAUUGUGUUCUGGAAAUUCACCUCAGUACUUUGGCAAAGGAACAAAGCUGACUGUUCUGGAAAAAGACCCAGUUCCCCCUAAACUUCACAUCCUCGAGCCGUCGAAGGAAGAGAUUGUGCAGAAGAAGCGGGUGACCCUGGUGUGUCUGGCCACUAAUUUCUACCCGGAUCACAUUGAAAUCACCUGGAAGAUCAAUGGCAAGAACAGAGAGGACGGGGUUAAAACAGACGAUUAUGCAACCAAGGAUGACAAGAACACAUCCAGCAUCAGCAGCCGGCUAAGACUGACUCCGAGAGAAUGGUUUAACCCCAAGAACACCUUCACCUGUGCUGUGGAGUUCUACAAGGAAACUGAUAAAGCAACAUCUAUUGUAGAAUAUAUCAAGGCUAAAGAUGGCUGUGGCAUGACUCAAGACUCCUAUCAGAAGAGUUCAGCGGCUGCAAAGUUUUCAUACACACUGUUCAUUGGCAAAAGUGUCCUGUAUGGGCUGCUGGUGGCAGUUUUUGUGUGGAAAUUUAGGCAGCCUUCACCGGGUAAAAACUUCAACUAGAAGACGAAGGGAAGGAUGCAUUGGAACCAGCGAACCAGAAGAGACUCUGCAUUGCUUCAGCGCUAAAAUAGCAUUCUGCUUUGCAUUGUUGUUCAGUUCUAGCAGUGAUGUUGUUCUUUAUAACUAAAGUGCUCAUUUUAAGAGUCGAGACUCAAUAAGGCUCACAGUUGGCUUGCUGGAAAACUCUUAAUAUUUCUACAGCUGUUCUGUACAAUUGUUUUCCAGAGUUUUUUUUUAUUUUCAAGCCAACACAUUUUAAAACAUUUUAAACUUGUUUUGGCUUCAAAUGUCUUCUUACUUUUUUACACUCAAUACAAAUGAUAAAAGGUGUAUUUGCAAUGUUAGCAGUAGCUUCGCUUAAACCUCGCUUUUAAGACUUGGGUUUGAUAUUGUCAGGAAUUGAUUUCCAUCCUUAUUUGUAUUACUGAACACAGGAAUGAAAACAUUCCAGAAUGUGCUAUUUAGCUUUCCAGCCUCUACCAAUUAAAAGUGCUGGAAUUAGUCUUCCAUCUAAUUAAUUGCAUCCUCAAAUUAAUAUUGUAAUCAUUAAUAUAAAUGUAUUUGCUGGAAAUAAUGCUGCAUAAUACAUGACUUUUAUCUAGAUACUACUUUUGUAUUCGUCCAUCCUUGGAAUUAUACAAUGCCUACAGUACUUGCAUAAUAAAAUGGUUUAAUGUA